rnacentral:rRNA from 1 species
GACGAACGCUGGCGGCGUGCCUAAUACAUGCAAGUCGAGCGAAGCGGCGGUUGGGUGAGUAACGCGUGGGUAACCUGCCUUUAAGUCUGGGAUACCAUUUGGUAACAGAUGCUAUUACCGGAUACUAAAGGAUGGACCUGCGAGGCAUUGGCUAGUUGGUAAGGUAACGGCUUACCAAGGCGAUGAUGCAUAGACGAGUUGACGAGCUGAUCGGCCACAUUGGGACUGAGACACGGCCCACGCUCCUGCGGGAGGCAGCAGGAGUGAAUCUUCCACAAUUGACGAAGGUCUGAUGGAGCAACGCCGCGUGAGUGAAGAAGUUUUUCGGAUCGUAAAGCUCUGUUGUUGGUUAAGCGGUAAUCAACCAGAAAGUCACGGCUAACUACGUGCCAGCCGCCGCGGUAAUAC